GACGAACGCUGGCGGCGUGCUUAACACAUGCAAGUCGAACGAUGAAGAAGAGAAACGCGAACUUCGGUUCAAAUUUCACUUCGGAUUAGUGGCAGACGGGUGAGUAACGCGUGAGCAACCUACCUCUUACAAAGGGAUAGCCUCGGGAAACCGUGAUUAAUACCAUAUGACACAUUCAUAAGGCAUCUUAAGAAUGUUAAAGCUACGGCGGUAAGAGAUGGGCUCGCGUCCGAUUAGCUAGUUGGUGAGGUAACGGCCCACCAAGGCGACGAUGGGUAACUGGGCGGGGAGGGGGAACGGUUACAAUGGAACUGAGACACGGUCCAAUCUCCGACGGGAGGCAGCAGUGGGGAAUAUUGCACAAGGGAGGGAAAUCUGAUGCAGCGACGCCGCGUGAGCGAUGAAGGAAUUCGUUUCGUAAAGCUCUGUUCUAUGGGAAGAAAAUGACGGUACCAUAGGAGAAAGCCCCGGCUAAAUACGUG
rnacentral:rRNA from 1 species